GACAAGUUUGAGAAGGAAGAGACGGCCAAGAAAAAGAUCAUCUUUUCAAAAUGCCCAAAAUUAGAGAUUACAUUUGCAUAUGCUAAUCAUCAUCAUCAUCAUCCUCAUUAAUCUUCUGCCCAAAUCCCAUUGGUCUUGCUCUUGCCUUUCUUUUCUUCCCAUUCUUCUUUUUGGCCGUCUCUUCCUUCUCAAACUUGUCUUUCUUCCUCUUCUCCAAGAAAUCAGUCACUCCUAAAUAUAUUACCCCAAUAGUGAGAAUGGAUAAAAUAACAAAGGCAAUGAAGAGAAGAGCCGCUAUGAUGCUGCCCGUUCCAUCAUCAAUAGAGGAGACCAUUUGCUGGGUGCUCUCAAGUGGGGUUGUUGUGUCUGAAGGCAAGGCCUCUUCAGGGGUGGCAUAGAUUCUCCAGACAUGGGUUUUCCUCUGGUGAAUUUUGUGAAAAUGGAUAGCUAGUUUUGGUUUGAGAGUAGUAGAUAAGGAAGUGAAGGGCAGAGCUAAGUUAUGGGCGGUGAUAAAAGAAGGGUAAGGAUAUUUGGCGGUGGUAACGGAGAGGAGAGGAGGUGGAGGCAGUGAGGGACAUGCCGUAGCGAUGAGCUCCAC
rnacentral:misc_RNA from 1 species